GGAAGAGUACUAGAAUCGGUGGAUUGGAAGGUUUCCUCUCAACAGCGUCAUCACUAUCUAUGUUACAGUUUGAUAUAAAUUCUAUAUAACAAAGACUGUACAACAUGCAACUCUUUCACCUUCUCUUCUCAAGAAGUGAGCCUUGGUCAAACGAUCUUGAAUUCAAGUUAUCUGUGAAUGGACCCAUGCAACACUGGCUAAGUAGUGGCUCGAGUGAUUGGAAGAAUUGCCUGGAGAGCUAAGCUGGUUGGAAAACCCCUUUCUUCUUUCAAAAUCAAUGUCAAUUGUUCUAUCUUGGCCAUUCUUGGAGGUCUUUGAGCAUUGGCUUCAAUUCUAGUCCUCAGGCCUUUACUUAAUUAAUCCAAACUGUUC